GACGAACGCUGGCGGCGUGCUUAACACAUGCAAGUCGAGCGAGCGGCGGACGGGUGAGUAAUGUCUGGGAAACUGCCUGAUGGAGGGGGAUAAAUACUGGAAACGGUAGCUAAUACCGCAUACCAUCAGAUGUGCCCAGAUGGGAUUAGCUAGUAGGUGGGGUAAUGGCUCACCUAGGCGACGAUCCCUAGCUGGUCUGAGAGGUUGACCAGCCACACUGGAACUGAGACACGGUCCAGACUCCUACGGGAGGCAGCAGUGGGGAAUAUUGCACAAUGGGCGCAAGCCUGAUGCAGCCAUGCCGCGUGUGUGAAGAAGGCCUUCGGGUUGUAAAGCACUUUCAGCGAGGAGGCGUUACUCGCAGAAGAAGCACCGGCUAACUCCGUGCCAGCCGCCGCGGUAAUUC
rnacentral:rRNA from 1 species